AGUAGAGGUAGAUGGUAGUAGAGUAGAGGUAGAUGGUAGUAGAGGUAGAUGGUAGUAGAGGUAGAUGGUAGUAGAGUAGAGGUAGAUGGUAAUAGAGUAGAGGUAGAUGGUAGUAGAGGUAGAUGGUAGUAGAGGUAGAUGGUAGUAGAGGUAGAUGGUAGUAGAGGUAGAUGGUAGUAGAGGGAAGAUGGUAGUAGAGUAGAGGUAGAUGGUAGUAGAGUAGAGGUAGAUGGUAGUAGAGUAGAGGAAGAUGGUAGUAGAGGUAGAUGGUAGUAGAGGUAGAUGGUAGUAGAGUAGAGGUAGAUGGUAGUAGAGUAGAUGGUAGUAGAGUAGAGGUAGAUGGUAGUAGAGUAGAGGUAGAUGGUAGUAGAGGAAGAUGGUAGUAGAGUAGAGGUAGAUGGUAGUAGAGUAGAGGUAGAUGGUAGUAGAGGUAGAUGGUAGUAGAGGUAGAUGGUAGUAGAGGUAGAUGGUAGUAGAGUAGAGGUAGAUGGUAGUAGAG
rnacentral:lncRNA from 1 species